UCUUUAUUUUUAUACUUAAGUUUACACUACAAAAAGGAUGAAAAUGAGACAAUAAUUACAUUUGAGCAUAAUAAUGGUCAUAAUUAUCCCCCAUAGCCAUGUGAGAAAUCAUAGCUACCUCCUUCAUACCUUCCAUGACAAUUAUAGUCACCUGCUUAACCAGGAAAUAAAAGUAAAUAUGAGAAAUGGCUAAUUAUUUAACUGUAUGCACUCUUACCUACCUGCCUAUAAUCCAUCCAUCACAUAUUAUAUGCAGUAAAUACAUCAUUCUUGGUGUGUAAACUGAUCAAGUAUUUAAUUGGUUGACCUUGUUAAAACACAAUAGGAAUUGUUUCUAUAUAGCAGUGAUCAAACUUAAAUUAAUUACAAACAACAAUAGGGACGGAAGGAGCAGAGGACAUACAGUAUGAUAUGAUAGCGUUUUUGACAUAUUCAAAUUUCAAAGUUAAAAAGACUCUGACAGAAAUUUAAAGUGUAAUUGGAAACAUUUAAACAAUAUUUUGAAAAUUAAAUGUUUUGUUUAUAUUACCUGCUUUUAUUACAGUAUGACCGUGGUUUCUUGUUUCAUAUAUACUGAAAAAUAUUUCAUAUAUACUGAAAAUAUAAAAGUACUAUAAAGUUUGUGCGUGUGCAUUUCGUCGUCGUGCACUAUGAAAAUGACUAAAAUCAAAAGGUCGGGUUGUUUUAAGCUUUUACAACUAAACUUACCUCAAAACAAGACACUUACCAAGUUAUUUUCUUCAAUAUUUUCCCCUCAAUCUUCAGAAAAAAACACAAAGUUUAAACGACAUUUAUUUUGCUGUAAAAGCCCGUUUGAUUUCUUGCCGCUCUCGUGAUAUUCGCCGCAUUCGUCCGUUUUGCAUCCCAGCGCUUUCGCAACAACCAAUAAAAACAAGUUUUCGUGUUGUUCAAAUCAUUAUUUUACCGUCUAUUUUUAACAAUGCUGUUCACGGUUGUUCGAACAACUAAAAACAACUUGUUUUUUCAUCAAUGUUGUUCACGCCUGUUCGAACAAUAUUGUUGACGCCUGAUGAAUGAACAACGCUGAACAACAUUGUUCUGACAACAUUUAUCAAGCAUGUUUCAUCAACCUUGUCGGACGCUUGUUCCAUCAUGUUGCAACAACCAUUGUUCGUCCAUCAAGCGUGAACAAGUUGUUGGAACCUCGGUUGGAACAAUGUUGUUAACGAUUGUUGCUUGAACAAUGUUGUUCAGCCAUGAUAACAACAUUGUUCAGGCAUUGUUCAAUGAACCGAACGCCGAACAAUGGUUGUUGCAUUAUUUGUAUUUUAAUUAACGUAUAUUUUUCGAAAUAUAGCUGCAUAUAUGCUGAGCAUUUGAAACUAAACAUUUCGCAAUGAUUUUUCUUUACUUUUAUACACGUCAAUGAAAUACUUGUAUUUUUCGUAAUUAGGUCGAUAAAAAAGUAAAUUUCAGUUCAGCUUAUUUCCCAAUCAUUAGUAUCGAUAGAGAGGGCUUUUAUUUUUACUUAAUUUUGCUCAAUUAAGGAAGCAGAUGGCAACAGACUGCUCGAUUGCUACAAGUUAGUACUUUUACUUGUAUAUAGGUUUAAACAUACAAAUUAUGCAUAUGAAAUCUUUCACUGUUACUUGCACGGAUCAAUGGAUUGCUUUCUGAGGCUGAGUCAUUAUCAUUGAUUGCAAAUAGAUUUGUAAAUUCCAAAGGUACUCCUGGAGGUAAUAUUCCAUUAGACCUACACAUGGAACAUAUGAAUAUGAUGGUUAAGAGAUCAGCAAAAGCAAUGGGAGCAAAUGUAACAGAGAAGUCAUUACAACGGGCUGCAAGUCAAUUCUGGCACUGAAUAAGGUUAGAGAAUGCAUAGCUGAUGAUUGUUUUAAGAAGACACGAAGCUAGUGGUUUGCACAGCCAGAAAAUCCAGAGGAAGCUGUCAAAGUCAUUGCUCAUGACCUGCUGAUGGGAGAAGUAUUUCAGAAGAAAGAGAAAAGACAAGGUUACCACUCAUUUUCCAAAUUCAAAUCCAACUUACUUGAUGUGGACUAUAGAGACUACUUUAAAUGGAUCAGAGAGAAACUUAUACAUUGGAACCAAGUAUAUGACUCUAGAAGACUCCACAAUAAAUUAAACUAAUGUUGAGAGAAUGUACACUUAAAAGCGUAGCAUAGUGACAGAAUUUAUAAUUGCAUGUAUGUAAAUAAAAUCCUUAAUAUAUGUCAAGUUUUCACAAUAUAGUAUGGUAUUAUAAACAAGCAUGAUCAUAUUUUGUAUUUACGUAAGUUUAAUACAUAGGCCACAUGAGAUAUUUCGAAAGUGGACAGACACUGACCAAAAGGGGGGCUUUUGUACUAUAUGAUCAGAAUCAAUGCAAACAAUGUUUCUGUCGGCCCAUGAUGAAGAACCAUCACGGUUAGUGCUCGGAGUGAAAAUUUUUGAAACAUGUAGUUAAUAUAUAUAAGUACAACUUCGAAAAUGGCAUUUACAGAUUCUUUACUUCUACACAGGAGCAAUCUGUUUUCUGGCAAAAGAGUGUGUUCAUUGAAAUUUUUUUUGUGUGUUCAUUGAAAUUGAUUUUUUUGACAGUGUAAUUUUUUCACUUUUGCACAAAGGCACGAGAACAAAGGCCCUAUUUGCACCCCUCUCUGUGCUUCUGCAUCCUUUGCUUUAACGUCAAUUAUACUAUAAUGUCUCAGAAAACGUUUGUUGACGUUUCUUGUUAACACAUGCAACUAUAAGUAGCAAUCCAAUCUUUUGGGGCCUACUUAAUCCUUUUAAUCUGUCUAAAGCCAGAUGAUUUUACACGUAAAGUUUAGUAGCUGCUACAUUAAUACAUAACACUAUAACAGACAAUACAAGAUGGCCAUUUUUAUGGACAACCAUGACUCUAUGAGUGCUGUUACAUUUUGUAUUAAAGUUACAUAAGGUAUGUUGGAAGUUUAUCAGUUUCAUCACUUUCUGUCUGUUCAAUAACUAUAUUAUCAUCUAAAGGAAUGCAAGUAACCAAAUGCUGUUUUCUUUUCGGUCGCCCAUUGUCGUACGAAGGCUUGCGAUCUCUCCCUGCACGACCUGCCUCUUGAAGGUGGCUGGUAAGAUUUUUAGAAGGACUAAAAUGGACUACAUACCUCACACGGGGGAAAUCCACACCCAUACUUAACGAAGUAGAAGCUAUAACAACUCUAAUGUUGCCUUUAAUACAUUCAAAUGAUGAUGUUGUUUUGUCGUCCUUGGCGUUCUUGGGGGUUUGAGAAUAAUAUACUCCAAGCAGAGAUCUUUCUUGGGGAGGUUUACUGCCAUCAACAUAUAUACUGAUUGUCCAAGUUGGCUGAGAAAGAGGUUAAGAAUCAAUACAAUAUGUCGUUGACUGUCUUACAAAAAAUUAUGGUAUUUGGAGAUUCUUCCUUUUUUUCCCUUGAAUCAUUGAAACAAUCCAUUCAUAGCAAGACAUUUGCGUAUCUGCUUUAAACACGGAGAAUCGAAUGUUAUCCCUAUUUGGAAAAAACCCAGUUUCAUAUUAUUCUGACACUGCAAUCCAGCAAUGAAAAAUUCGUUGGCUCGAGCGUGAUUUGAACUCCCAUCUUCGGGUAUCUAGACCGCCGCUCUACCCAUUCUAUCGAGUCAACGGGGAUUGGUAGCGAGUCUUAUCCAAUUUAAGUGCGCGAAAUAUUUUCGUGAGACUUACGCUUGUCUUAGAGGACGCGCAGAAGGCAAAUGCAUGUGGCGUUCGAGUUCAAAACAAGACAAGGAGUGUGAAUAAAGCAACACAAAAGACUAUAUCAUGUCACGAAGUUUUUAUUGACAUGCAUUUUUUAUAAAAUAUGUCAUAACGGUUAUUGUGAGGGACGAAGUUGUUAAUAAGGCCUGGAUGGACGUUUGAAAUUAAACUCUUAAAAACGUUAAUAGACGAUAGAUGUUAUUUCUGAAUUACAUAUAUAUAAUUCAUUUCUGGUUUCAUUCGCCUUGACUUGAUACAACUACUGAAUCGGUUGGAUGAUUUGAUAUUUUUAUCUCUUGUCAUGUGAUUUCGAUUAUAAUACAAUGCUGCUAGAAACCUUAUGAAACCAUCAAAUGUUCAACGUUUAUCAAAUACUCCUUCGUUUAUCAAAUAUCCUAUAAUAUAUUUAUCAAAUAUCAACGUUUAUCAAAUAUCCUUGCAUUACUGUAGCUGUUGGUAUAUUCCCAAACUUGAUAUAUCUGAAUGUAACAGGGUGAUUUAUCUCGAAAUAUCUCAUUGUUUGGUCACAGGUGCAAGGCCGCCGGAAGUAAAUCAAUAUUGGGGGUUCAAGAAUAAAUCGGAACAAAUCUGAAUUGCUUGCGCACUUUUCUAGUUCUUUUGUGUGUUUUGCUAAUACAAAUGAAAAUUAUUGGGGGGGGGGUGGGGGGCUCUCAAGCCCUCCAGCAUAUGUGCAGUAGGUCCGAAAUAGGCCAGUGAGCAUUAGAAUAGUUAAAUCACUAAGAUAUUAAAAAAAAAAGGAUGACCAUCGUUUUACUACUUGGGAUUCAAAUCUGAAAACAGUGACUAUAAUGUGUCCGUAAUUUGAGAUGAUGAAUAAACAUAAUUUUUAAUGAGGAUACCAACUUCAGAAGUAGUGGUUUACAGAAGGGUCCUCGGAAUGAUAUACAUCUGCUUACUCAAUAUGUGGGUUUGAAGCAUAUCACAACAUUUUAUCAUUAUUCAACGUUUGAAUGAAGACACGUUUUGCAAGAAGUUCAGUAUUUUGUUACUGCAUGUAAAUGCAUUGAAUAGAAUCGCGUGGUAACUUUCAAUCGGCCUUGUGGAGCCAGGUAGUUUGGUCUGUUUAUUUUUUAUUUAAGACAAUUAAGCAGCGAAAUAUUUCUCUUCGCGACGUCGUGCAUGUUACUCACAUAAAAAUAAGUGCCGGAGUCCAUGCCCAACAAUUCGUAUAGCGGAUUUAUUUUUCACUCAAUGCCGGGAUAUAAAUAUGCUCUGUUUAAUUAUAUCAGCUGCAUGCGUAUGCAUAUCUAUUGUAACUGUCGGAAAUAUAAACUGAGAGACGAUGUAAUUAAUUAGCAACUAAAUUUAAAUUAUAUGCACCGGCUUUGUAAUGUUCUGAACAUUGAGACGUUUAGCUAGCUCACAGGCGGGCAGAUGAUAUUGAAAGUCGCACAUGCAUUAAUAAUGUCGCUCUUGCUGUAAAUAUAAGUUAAUUUAAUAAGUUUCACAAAACCAGUAAUUAUAUGUGACAAAAACCUUAGUUAUUUACAACUUUAACAGAUAAAACGACAGUUGGUCUAUAUAUUCACCUUAUCUCAAAUUCUAUUCACUUGUCCGGGAUAUCAGUUUGGAAUGGUAACUGUAGCAACCGGGCGUGUGUGUGUGUGUGUGUGUGUUUGUGUGUGUGUAUGUGUAUGUGUGUGUGUAUGUGUGUGUGUGUGUGUGUGUGUGUGUGUGUGUGUGUGUGUUUGUGGAGGGCGGGGGUAUACGCAGGAAAUAUGAAUAAUACUGGUAUAAUCCGGUUAUAUUUUUAUCUAGUAUUGUAUUUAACAUGUUUAAUUCUGUAAACUAAAAACUUAAUUUAGUGAGGGGCCUGGGGACGACAGUACUUUAACCUUCUAGUGUAUAUUGACUAACCGCAAUAUUAAAAACUCCCUCUUUAAUUUAAACAAAGAUUAAUUGUGUUGGUAUUUUUCCACAAGCGACAACCACACUCAAAUUUUAGUGCUAGUAUUCUGGGUUUUAAGGAUUCCAUGUUUUUAAGGAUUCCACGUUUUUAAGUAUUUACGGAUUUAGAAAUUCUGAUUUUUAGUGUGAUUUUAGUAUUCCGUGUUUUCGAGAUUUUGGCUUUUUGUAAUACAGAUUUUAGAGAUUAUGGCUUUAGUAUUCCGUGUUUUAGAAAUUUCGGGUUCAGUUCCAUUUCCCGUUUCUCGAAUGUUGUCCGUUGUUAACUUGACAAUUCGUUGUUUUGGAAAGAUCGAGUCUGGUUACAUGUAGAUGCGUCCUUAUAGUUGACAAAGACUUGUUGUUGUUAACUUAAGAUGGUUCCUACAAUUUUAGGUCUGUGUCGCGGAAAUUUUUUCCACGCGCGAGAUUAGUAGUGAUCCACGCAAUACGCGUGGUCGACGUUGCACGCGUGGUGGGUUUUUUAAAUUGCGUCGUGAUAUACACGCGCGGGCCUUCGUGGGAUUGUCCGCUGGUCGCGCGAGGAAAUUGAAAUCCUGAUUUUUAUGAUGUCACAUAGAUAAAAAUAAAUGUAUUUUUCUCGUGUUUCCUUCAGUAUUAUUUUUUUAAACUUCUCACACUUUCCUGUAAUGUUGAAGUGCGUAAAAUGUGCAAGUUUUAAGAAAAUCGUACCAAAACCAGGGCUUUUUCACGAUUAAAAAAUUAAUAUACUCGUACGAUUUUUUUUAUAUGCUAUCAUUUGAAGGAAUUAUAGAUAAGAUUACUAUGUGCAGAAAAAGUUUUACCGAAGAAAUUUUCAAAAAAUUAUCAAAGGAUCUGCAAAUUGGCCCUUUUUAAAAUCGCUUUAUUACCAUGGCAAUGGGGAUUUUUAACGACAUUUUUUAUUUUUCGUAAUUCGCGAUAUUGUAGCAGUUAUUUUGCCGAGUUUUGCGAUCAUACUUUGCAAGAUGAUAAAAUAAUGGUUUUUUGAAUACAAUUAUAUAAAUGUAAUGUCAUAUAUACUUCAUGUAAUAUAACCUUUUUAAUUAAGUAAACUUGAAAGUCUGAAUAUCGAUUUAUAAUCAUAGAUAUAUAUAUAUAUAUAUAUAAAUGUUGUAAAUAGACAAUAGAUAUACUCCCUAAUUUUUUGUAAAUUUUAUGAGGGCCACAAGUUCAUUAGUACUUCGUACUAUUAAGUGUCACCCUCUUUAAAUAAAGUCUCUAUCUAUCUAUCUAUUAUGUGCUGUACAAUCAAAACUGUAGGGAGCCACCUUAAGAUCAAUCCAAGAAAUGACGUAGCCUACAUGUAGGUUUCAUUUUACAAACUGUCGUGCAGUCAGUGAGUCAGUCACGCACGAGAUAAAACCUAUAACUUGUCGUGGCGAUAGAAGUGUUUAUUUUGAUACGUUAACUUCAAUAUUGAAGCCGGACAAUAUUCAGGUGAAAUUUGUACAGUUUAUAAGGAAACAAAGCUGUGUGUUCGAAGGAACUAAGGUAAGCGAUAUUGCAUGUCCUUCCUGUUGUUGAGCAUUUCCAUACGAACAUGUUGUAUUCAAUAGAUUAUUGCGUUAAUUUCACAACACUAUAAGCUGAAGUGAACUGCUUAUAUUUAGGAAUUAAAGUUCUAUCCUGUGUUCAUUAAUUGAAUAUGAUUUAAUAUAUUUUUAGCGUUGGUGAUUAAGACAAGUGUUUAAUAAAAAUACCCAUCGUAAAUUAUAUGCGGUCAACAUGCAAUAAGAUACCUUCAAACAUAUUCUCAUUAUUUCUGUAGUCCUUGCUUUAGUUGUACUGAAAGAAUGUAGAUAUUUAUUGAGUUGGCUACGAUUCCUUCAGAAUAAAUGCACAAGAAAUUAGAGAAAUUUUCCUUUAAACGAUCAUCAAAUAUCUCUGAACUUUGAUUUUUGCAUUUCCGUAAUGUGGUGUUUAUAUUGCUUACAUAAUAUUUAAAUUCUCUCUGAGUUGUCCUGUAACGUCGACAAGAAUGAUGGGGAUUUGUUGAUAACGAAUUCGUGCACAAAAUGAAUCAUCAUUGCCAUUGGCGGUAGAGUUAUAUGCUUUUUAGUUGAUGUUUAUACUAUUUGUUUCAUCGGAAUUCCGAACAUGAAUAUGACGGUUUCGACAGUUCGUGGUUUGAUAUUUUAUCUCCCUCUCUUGUAUAAAAUGAAGUGCGGAGUUGAUGUGGUGUUAUGAACAGACAAACUUUUGAAUUUUUGCCAACACAUAGAAACAAUUACGUACGACCAACGUUUUGUGGUGAACUAUUAAAUUACGAUACAUGGCAUGCGCCAACAUGGCUGCCAGCUUAGCUCCAAAGCUCUUCAUUGUUUUAAUAUUUUUAAACUUAUUAAGAGCACAUUUUUUACAAAAUCGCGUAUUUUUUGCGCAAAGCGCUCAAAACUUAGCGACCAGGCCUUCCCUAAAAUCCUGCCCCGCCAUCUUGGUUUUAAAAAUUUCCCAAAAUAUGCGAAGACAAAUAACAGAAUUUUACUGGAUUUUUGGCUGUGUCACGAGGCAAAACAUUGCCAAAUAUAAAGAAAGAUAACAUGGUAAGUGUAAUAUCGUAUUUAGUAGCUGUUAUUUAAAUUAUUAUUAUGUAAAUAUGCACAUGUAUCGGACUCAGGAGUGACCAUUUCAUUCAAAGAGGUCAUCUAUAUUUACUGAUUGAAAGUGUCUGCUUUCGUCUUUUAAAUGAUGGCCGGCCUGUUCACAACUCGUUUACAAUAUAGGUACAUGCAAAAUUUUAAAGGAAAAAUUUGAGUAUUUGUAAAUAAUCCAUUUUAAUACUUCGAAGUUCGAAUCAGUUUUUUGCCUCUGGUACUGUUGCACAUUUCCAUAAUAUUACUGUAAAAACAUUAAUUUUAAACUUCACAAUGUUUCGUACACAUGCAGCUGUUCUGCUGUUGCAGUGCUUCAGGUAUACCAUGCUAUAAAUCACUACACGUUUCCUUUCUGAUAUAAAGAAUCAUGAUGUACAUCUGGUAUAUGAUUGUAUACAGUAUACUAAAGUAUAAAUUGGAAACCAAAAUUUCAUAUGGGAUGUAGGUAACAAUUGCAACUGGAAUUAUUAGUUGAAACAACCUACUUUCCCACAUGCAUGUAACCCGAUGUGGUACGAGGGUUGCUAAACCAGGGCUGGUCAUAAAGCAGGGCCAGGAUGCAUCAUCACUAUGGACCCCAGAUACUGAACCCCCUCCCCCAAUAUCCCCAAGUAAAUCUAUCCCACUACUACACAAAAGAAUACUUCUUUCCCUCUGAGUUAACAAUGAAAGUAUAUUUUUUACAGAUCUCUGCGAUAUUACUUUUACAACCUUGAAGAUAUGAUUACGAUGACAGAUGUCUGUACAUUGUGGAGUAUUUUGUACAUCCUAUGAACUUUUUGUAACAAUAGAUAAAUUUUUAUCAUAAUUUAUCUGUGAUUUAAUAAAUAUUCAUUUCAUCUUGUUUCAUUUCUUGUUUUCUUUAAUAGCCUGCAAGAAAAGAU